CCCUUAGAUGUUCUGGGCCGCACGCGCGCUACACUGACGGAGUCAACGAGUUGUCCUGCAUCGGAAGGUGUGGGUAAUCUUUUGAAACUUCGUCGUGCUGGGGAUAGAUCUUUGCAAUUUUCGAUCUUGAACGAGGAAUUCCUAGUAAGCGUGAUUCAUCAGAUCGCGUUGAUUACGUCCCUGCCCUUUGUACACACCGCCCGUCGCUACUACCGAUUGAAUGGUUUAGUGGGGCCUCGGGACUGGCGCGCUCGAGUAGCAAUACACCUGCGCGCCGGGAACUUGGUCAAACUUGAUCAUUUAGAGGAAGUAAAAGUCGUAACA
rnacentral:rRNA from 1 species